CCAGCAAGGGAGUGUAGAGUAUCAAUUCUGGCUAGGCUUAGGAUUAAGCUCAAUACAAGUCCAUGCACUCAUAGAGGGGUGUGAGAUGGAAUUAGGGUGUAAGCCAGCAAUUUGCUUGGGCUGGAGGGAUCCAGGCCCAUCACACAACUGGUAAAUGAGAAUAGCAUCAAGAAGAAACAUUAUUCAAGCCUCUCUCUCAUUCUGAAGAAUCAAUUCACUAUGAUGCUCACUGGAAUUUACUAUGAUGCUCACCAGAAUUCACUAUGAUGCUUAUCGAUCCACGCGAAACCUCACAAAUCCCUUCCCCUAAAUUUGAGUUCAUCAAUUAUUUUUAUAAACCUUAAACUAUGGAUCCACAUCGUAGCUUUGAAGGUCGUAAUCAUUCGUUCUAAAUCGCUCUUGAAAUUGGGAUAGGAACAUAGUGAAGCACAUGUUCAGAAGCAUAAAUAAUUAAGCAAGAAUCUGUAACACGCGUACCAGUGAGGAUCCGACGACGAAUUCAUAAGGUGGAAGCAUGCUUGGCUUAGGCAAGGUUGGAUUGAAGUUUGACAUGGUCAAGGCAUGACAUUUGAAAGUAAUAUGGAGUAUGGAAGGAUGAACAUGACUUUGAAUAUGAAGAAGGCUUGAAGAUUAGCGGGAACUAGGUCUAGGGUUAGAGAGUUGACUUGGGUCAACCGGUUGACCAAAAAGUCGAAAGUUGACCAAAAUUAAUUGUAGGUAAAUUGUAUUUUUGUAGGCUUUGGAUUUUUGUAGUGAUUUGUAUAUAGAUGUUUGGAAAUGAAUCUUGGAUUACUUUUGUAAUGAAAAAUGAAUUUGAAUGUCAUGAUCCUAAGUGAGUUCUCUUCACACAAUUGAUUUUGAUCUUUGGAACAAAUAA